GCUAGCGAGAAAGGCUAAAUACAGUCAUGGGUUGUGUAAGUGUUGCACACUCUUUUUAAAAAAAGUGAGGUCCACCAU